UGAGGGUAAUAAGCCCGACUGAAGGAGUUUCGCUUUUCAAUUCAGCACUGCUUGCGUAUGUGCAAAUACAUUUUUUAAUGCAUGCAGUACAUUAGAAAUAUCCACAGAAAAUUGAAUUUAGAUAGUUACAUGUGUAAGUACCAAACUCAUUUCAGAUGAGGCUAAAUGAGAUGAGAAAGAAAAGGGGAAAGAGUGUGCAGCUCUUUGAUACAGCGAACAAAUAGCAGCGCUGAAAGAUCCCAUUUUUCUUUGACUUUUUUACACGCAGGCUCAAAUGCCGAAGUCAGGGAAUCUUUUCAUUAGCUUUGGCCUGAGACGCACGCCGAAAUAAAUGCACCUUUUUCUCUUUUUUCACUGUAAUGUGUGUUAAAUAUUUCAGAGAUUUCCAGAUCCUUUCACAGAGCGCGAGAGAGGAGGGUGGCGGUGGAGGAAUGAGGAGCGGCGCGUCAAACAAGAAAAGAAAAUGCUGAGGCGAGAGGUUGAUGUGCUCCACUGAAUAUUUUUCUCAUUGUGUUAUCAGAAAGCAGAUAAUGUGUCGGUGUGUUUGGCUGUCAGCGAAGCCACGGAGCUGCGUGUUCGGGCCUCCCGAAGGCAGAUUACACUGAAGGAAACAGCGCUCUGACACCGGCAGCCGCUUUGGGUCAAAGGAAGGAAACAUCUGAUGACGCCGUUUGUGAGCUGGGACUUUGGAAGAGAAGCUGGAAGCUCCUGGAUAUCAGCCAUCAGGCCGGCUCUCGGUGCAGCGCUGGAUUAUUCACACAUUCGACCUCCAACCCAGAACAACAACAAACAGCUCAGCACUCGGCGCUCACUCCGCCCGGCGCUCGGCAGAUUGGACGAUUACGGGUCAUGACACUGAAGGUUCGGCAGCAACGUUCAUCUCCCAUCUCCUCUGAGAAUUACUUUUUAUCACAUAGUAAAGAGCAUGGAGUGACCUGAGUGCCUGAAAGCAGAGAAAAAUAACACCUACGGGGUAAAACUGAAGGUUUCUUUAUAUUUACUGUGAAAGAUUAUGUGUCUUUUCAUUCUGAAUGUGAAUGACUGAGAAACGUGGCCUGUAUGUGUUGUAUCAAAAUGUUUCAGUGUAUUAGUCUGAGCUCACGUAGCGAUUCACUGUCUUCUAAAGAGGUCGCAUAAAAGUAAGUUCCUCUAUUACUUAAUGACGAAAAUGUCCAGUUUACAGGAGUUUAAAGGUUAAAUGAGGAGUGGAUAAUGAAGAAAGGGGUGAAGAGGGGAAGUGGGUGCGUGUGCCGGUCGCCUGAUUAGGUGGGUGGCGAAAAAGAGGAGACCAUCUCACCUCAUGUUUUUGCCACAGUUGAAUUUGAAAAGUGUCUAAAAAGAAGGAAGAAAGGAUGAGAAAGAUAUUAUCUAGGUCCCCGUAAUGCCGCCAAAAUACCUCCACCUCAUUGUCAGUCCUUCAGUCCCAGCUGGUCAAAUAUGCUGGUUCCACAUAAGAGGGACCUGAAAGCUGAAGGCUCUGCCUCACAUUCUAUUUUGAAAUACUCUAUGAACAACAAGUAAGCCUGCAGUCUGAUAGUGAAGUGCUCUAAUGGGGCGAUAUGGUACAUAUGGUACAUUAAGAUAAGAUGGGGCCUGAUUACUGAUCAAAUACAAUAAUCUUGGUUUUUCUGAAUUUACAAGUAAAUUACAAGUCAAUCAGGCUUUACCACCUUUAAGGCAUGCCUGGAGUUUAACUCCAUCAUCUCCCUUCAUGGGUAAAUAAAGCUGGGUGUCAUCUGCAUAGCAAUGAAAUGUAUGCAAUAUUUUCUAAUAAUGUUAGCUAAGAGAAGCAUGUAUUAGUCCCAACAUAGAGCCCUGUGGAACUCCAUGACUGACUUUUGUGUAUGAGGAAGACUCCUCGUUCAUAUCGUAGUCAAAAAAGACCCCAAGGAUCCUCACAGUGGUGCAGCGUCAGAUCACUCAACUCGCCUCCCUACAAAAAUCAGACCUACAGCUGGCAAACAGUUUCUGUUUAAACUGAUUUGAAGAUUUAAAUGUGGCUUUGCUCAAAGAGGAAAAGCAGAGUUCGUUUACAGAGGAAGACACUGACUCUGUGGUUACUGAACCAACACGCCGCAGAAGCUGCAGCGUUUUAACACAUGUGCAAAUGUUUGCCGAACAGUUUAAACACUUUAAAACGUGCAGACAGAAAGACUAACCCCUGCUCCUGUAAAGAGCUGACGACGGUUUUUCCACACAGAAAAAGAGUGGGGGGAUUUAUGUGUGUAAAGUGGAGGUUAAGCAGGAUUUUUGCAGCGUCUGUGAGCUCAAACUCUGCUCGCUGUGCACAAACACAAACUUCAACACGGCGAAGAAGAGACAGGAUCAAAGCGACCGAGCGUUUCGACGGCGUCAACCGGGAAGUGCUCCAAGAACAUCGACAUCAAAUGAAGAGCAGGAAAACAUCUGAGGAGGGAUGGGGGAGCACCUCAAAGUACAUCCAUCACCCAACACCUCCCCUCAACACACACACAGACACACACAUACAUGCGUUCUGUCUUGACUCUCACAGUGUUUGUGUGCAGUUCAGGUGUUCAUCGUUUGAAAAACACCCAACUUCACAGUCAAUAAUUCAGUUUCUGAGCAGUAAAAAGGAUUUUUUAAAACUUAUGUAAUACAAGAAAAUGACAUGAUGUUAUGGUAUCCCUGUGGUUUUCAAUCAUUUUUAUGCAAGAAGAAGUAAAAACAACCAUAAAUGCAUGAACUGGACAUGUUGGAUGUUUGAUGAUAGUUACAAUGAAGUUAUAAAAACAUUGCUUUCAAACUGAGUUUGAACAAGAAAGUGUGCAAUAUUUCAAAUAUUUUCAUCGUCACUUGGGGCUUAAAGUUUCUGCUUUAAGGUUGUCAAAGCUGUAAAGCUUCCUCAAUGGUUCAACCUAAAAAUCAAGUAAAUACGAGUAAAAAAUUACACAAAAAAUCAAAAUCUACAAUACAGCUUACCCACCCAACUCUUGUAAAAAGUCAUUUUAGAAGUAAGUUCAUCUCAGUAGAAAACAGGUAAGAGUAAAUAUAUAAUUUGGUUUCAUUCACCAGAUCAAUUAUACACUGUGUGUCCUGCAUAUGAGACAAACAUAUUACAACAUAAGCACUUUGUAUUCUUUGAAAAUCGCCUCGUCACACAGUGUAUUUUCACAGGAUUUGAAAGUGAAUCUCAGUAAUACACAGCAGCCUUAUGAAGACAGUUUAAUCUCCUACAUAUGCCAAACCUACCACUCGCAACCCUCGCCAUCUGAGAGAUUUAAAACCAGCUGGGAAAACGAACUUGGCUUUCAAAUACAAAAAGAUGUGAGAAGAAAGUCUUAAACAUACACAAACGUGUUCAAGCUAAGAAAGUGUACAGACUCCAAAGUAAAAAUACACAGCAUACUGUAUAUCCUGAUGUUUCAGCUGCCUGUCAUCGACACCACUCCUCAGAAAAUAUACUUUUUUAUCUUCUUUAACCUCACAAGAGCCGGAAAAUAAAUGAAUUAUCAUCAGAGUUUUGAGGCUUCAAGAAGAAACAUUUUUCUGUUUGAUUAUAAAAGAACCAAAAAAACUACACUUCUUAACUCCAAAACAGGACUUCCUGAUCCAACCAGUACUUUAACACUUGGAAAGGAUAAUAGCAAACUUGCAUUAAUGUCUAAAACUUUCAUUAUGAUCAUCGUUAUUAUUUAUAUUUCUGGCACUGCUCUGAGUUGCUUAUCGUUCAAUAAAUUCAGCUUUGGUGCUAAGUGUGUUUCACGUGAGGUUAAAUGGUGACAUUUUGUUUUGGGAAAUUGGAGUUUUGGAAGUCUUAGUCACGGCGAGUGUGCUCGGAGUGAAGCUUCUACUGGAGCUGCAGAGGAGUCUUCAGGGUUUCAGAGGUAAGUGGGGAGGUGAGAGGAGGAAACACAGCCCGAGUGUUCGAUCAAAGUAAAACAGGAAGUUUAAAAAAAAAACCUGGACACAGAACUACUGAAGAAACCCAAUGAUUCAAAACUCAGAGAACAAAUAAAACCAUGACAAAAUGUCUUGCUUUCAUGUGCUAAUUUUACUGUUCUCAUUGUUCAUCUGGUUAUUGUGCCAUCGAACAAGACUAGAUGGACACUGACACUGUGGUUAAAGCAGUUAAAUAAUGGCAGCUAUUUUCACCAUCAUUGUUUAACCAGAUCACAAACACUGACUUUCUUUUAGAUUUGAUCUCCAAUUUAAGCAAAAGGUUUGGUGGCUCGGUUUAGCCUGUCGUGGAGCUUCAGUGUCUGCAUUAGGAGAAUGGAGGGGUUGCAGUUAUUUAUCUUAUUAUUAUUUACCUUUACUUGGUGAUUUAUUUUACGCACUUAAAACUACUUUGUUAGGUUCAGGAAAAGCUUGUGUUUUGGAUUUUGAAUGGUACUCCAAGACUUUAACACCUCGACAGUCAUGUGCAUGUGGUCAUUUGGGAAUGAAGGCUCCGUCUCUCUAUGGGACCUAUCCAGUGUGUGAGGCAUGACAAAGACGGUGGCCUGAAUAUCUGUCUGCCAGCGGUGCGUCCGUGUGACCUGCUGAGGGAAGUCGUCGUCCUUGUUGUUUGAACCCGGUUUGAAUGGACUCUCUGAUUGGAUUCCUCCAUCGGGUGAAGCAGAGGUGACCUCCUAACCUGGAUAACCUGGCCCAGCGUCUGCAGCUGAUUCAGCCCAGCUUCCACGAGGACAGAGACACAUCAUCUCAUCCCACUGGGCCUGUACUGAUGUGAUUUUACUUAUUAAGCUCCUCAUGCUAAAGGAGCCAUGUUAAAUAAAAAAAAAAAAAGCUCAAUAAAUGAAGAGUAAGUAUAAUAGAAUAAAUAUUUCUCUACGUUUCUGAGCUGUUUUGUUUUGUGAUAUUUGAUUUAUUUUAUUGACCUAAGUUUUUCAUGUUUUGGCUGCUGCGGUGUGUUACCUUUUUGGGAUAAAUAAAAUAUCAUCUUUUC